rnacentral:rRNA from 1 species
UACGAAGGGUGCAAACGUUGCUCGGAAUCAUUGGGCGUAAAGCGCACGUAGGCGGCUUCGCAAGUCGGAUGUGAAAUCCCUCGGCUCAACCGGGGAACUGCGUCUGAGACUGGAAGGCUUGAAUUCGGGAGAGGGAUGUGGAAUUCCAGGUGUAGCGGUGAAAUGCGUAGAUAUCUGGAGGAACACCGGUGGCGAAGGCGGCAUCCUGGACCAAUACUGACACUGAGGAGCGAAAGCCAGGGGAGCAAACGGG